CCACUGAGGAAGGAUCUCUGGUUGGAGAUCUCUCUUUGGGGAAGCUUUCCCCUGCAAAACUGGAAUCUUCUGAUAUGGAUUUGUCCAUGGGGAUUAUUUGCCGGAGGGGAAUUGGACUGUAAUUCCUGAAAUCCUGAGAAAGAUGAUCAUUUGGAAAAGUUUAGGGAUCUGGCAGAAAGGCAGAGCGUCAGUUCUGCUCAGGUUUGCUGUGUGUUGGGAGCUUUUCCUCAGUAGAAGAAGACAUGAAGAGAACAGCCCGGGUUAAGCCUUAGCCCAUCUCGCUUGCAGAUAACCUCCAGGCUUGCUUAUGUCUGCAAGAUCCGAGCAAAGUGGAGCAGCAGAGCUGGCAAAUGGGUACAAUUCAGCAUGCAGAGUGAAGGUGUGGGCGAGGAGGGGUGCUUUAGGUUUUCUUCUAUACAGUGACAGUGUUUUCUUUCUUCUGCUUUUACACCAAAUGCAGAGCUGCUUCUUUCGCACUACUGAAGCUUGCGCUUGAAUCCAAAUCAGAGGAGAGCCUUGCUGCAAAACACCACGUCUAGCCCUGCCAUGGAAGAGCACUUAACAACGGCAAAGCUUCCCAUCCUGAGGUGGCUGCUCUGUGGGAAGCAAUCCGUUCUUGAGAGGAAACGUUCACCCCGUGGUCCUCUGAACAAAGUCAUGGACACCAUCAGUAUUGGUUUCCUGCAUUAUAGAGUUACUGAUGUGCACACCUUCAAUCAUUGCAGAGCCAACUGCUUGCCAAGAAUACAAACGAUGGCAUUUUCCUUCUGAGGAGGAGUGCAUCCAGGUGCAAGGGGCAGAACUGGAACGUGGUGUGUGACAUAACUGAGUGCUGUGGGAUCACAGCACCUUGGAACAGUGUGGGAGCUGCAAAGAGUCCUUUGUCCUCUCCAGUUCCUCUCUGAGAAGUCAGCGGUGUUUGGUGCCAUCCAGGCAGCAGGGAACCUGCAGAGAGCAAGCUAUUAACAUAAUGGAGAGGCUUCUUCAGGAGCAGUGUUGUUGACCGCCCUCUGUGAGCUGUUGUAAAUGCAGCAUCCAUCUUCAGGAGAAAAAGUACCUGCAUUGUUUCCUGGGAACAGAAUGUCUUCAUUGCCAUCAUGACUCUGCGGCCGUUAUCUGAUCUUUGUUGUUACCAUUUGAUUGAGGGGAGAGAAUUCCAUGUGUGGAGGUAGGGGGGGAAAAAGAGAAAACUGUAGGCUGGAAUGCUGGUUGUGGAAUCGCAGAGGAAAAAAAUGUAAGCUUGGGAAUGGCAUCUCCUUGUGAAUUUGGUCUACCAUCUCUAGAGACCACAUUCGAUCAGGGAACGUGGAGCCCUGCUGCACAAACAGCCCUCGCUUCCAUGAGGAGCCCCGGGCCUCCCCAGCCCGCUGCUGUCUCUCCCAGGAGGCACGAGCACAGCCCAUGCACUGCUGCGACAUGCUGCCCCAAAACAAAGCUUGACCUCAGCAGUGCAGUGGGGCUGCUGCUUCCUGCCUGUGUCAGCGCUGCUCAUUAUUAUGGCCCUGAUGGCGGUGUUUGGUUACUGUGCUCCUGCCAGUGUAAUUAUACCCAACUGUAGAGAUGUGCCUCAGUACAAGUUUUAAGUUACAUAUGUCUGAA